UCCUUUUUCCUUCUUUCCAGCGUUCAAGAUGUGGAAGCGAGGACGUGGUGGGUCCUCUGGUGUGAACUUCCGGAUUUCUGUGGGUCUUCCGGUAGGAGCUGUGAUCAACUGUGCUGACAACACAGGAGCCAAAAACCUGUAUAUCAUCUCCGUGAAGGGGAUCAAGGGACGGCUGAACAGACUUCCCGCUGCUGGUGUGGGUGACAUGGGGAUGGCUACAGUCAAGAAAGGGAAACUAGAGCUCAGAAAAAAGGUACAUCCAGCAGUGGUCAUUUGACAAUGAAAGUCAUACCAGAGAAAAGAUGGCGUGUUUCUUUCUUUUGAAGAUAAUGCAGUGGUCAUAGUGGGCAAUAAAGGCCAGAUGAAAGGUUCUGCCAUUACAGGACCAGUAGCAAAGGAGUGUGCAGACUUGUGGCCCCCGGAUUGUGUCCGAUGCUGGCAGCAUUGCGUGAUUCUCCAGUAUAUUUGUAAAAGCAAAACAAAACAAACAAAAAAAUUUUAAACCCAUUAAAAAGUAUUUGUU
rnacentral:lncRNA from 10 species